rnacentral:rRNA from 1 species
GGAAACGGUGGCUAAUACUGGAUGUGCCGAAAGGUGAAAGGCUUGCUGCCUGAAGAUGAGCUCGCGUCUGAUUAGCUAGUAGGUGGGGUAAGAGCCUACCUAGGCGACGAUCAGUAGCUGGUCUGAGAGGAUGAUCAGCCACACUGGGACUGAGACACGGCCCAGACUCCUACGGGAGGCAGCAGUGGGGAAUUUUCCGCAAUGGGCGAAAGCCUGACGGAGCAAUACCGCGUGAGGGAGGAAGGCUCUUGGGUUGUAAACCUCUUUUCUCAGGGAAGAACACAAUGACGGUACCUGAGGAAUCAGCAUCGGCUAACUCCGUGCCAGCAGCCGCGGUAAUACGGAGGAUGCACGCGUUAUCCGGAAUGAUUGGGCGUAAAGCGUCCGCAGGUGGCUGUGUAAGUCUGCUGUUAAAGAGUCUAGCUCAACUAGAUAACGGCAGUGGAAACUACCCGGCUACACUGCGUUCGAGGCCAGACGGAAUUCCUGGUGUAUCGGUGAAAUGCGUAGAGCUCUCGAAGAACACCGAGUGAACGCACUCUGCUUACGCCCCCAACGAACCCUGACUGGACCAACCAUC